GGCACUAUAGUGUAGUGGUUUAGCACUCGGGAUUUUGAACGUCGGAUACUGGCUGACCUCCCCUGGGUCAGCCAGUGUCCGGCCGAUCUUCCCGCGACCCAGGUUCGAACCCUGGUAGUGCCU